rnacentral:rRNA from 1 species
UACGUAGGGGGCUAGCGUUGUCCGGAAUUAUUGGGCGUAAAGAGCUCGUAGGCGGUCUGUCGCGUCGGCUGUGAAAACCCGGGGCUCAACCCCGGGCCUGCAGUCGAUACGGGCAGACUAGAGUGUGGUAGGGGAGACUGGAAUUCCUGGUGUAGCGGUGAAAUGCGCAGAUAUCAGGAGGAACACCGAUGGCGAAGGCAGGUCUCUGGGCCACUACUGACGCUGAGAAGCGAAAGCAUGGGGAGCGAACAGG